UGGGGAAUUUUGGACAACGGGGGAAACCCUGAUCCAGCCAUCCCGCGUGUGCGAUGAAGGCCUUCGGGUUGUAAAGCACUUUUGGCAGGAAAGAAACGUCAUGGGUUAAUACCCCGUGAAACUGACGGUACCUGCAGAAUAAGCACCGGCUAACCACGUGCCAGCAGCCGCGGUAAUACGUAGGGUGCAAGCGUUAAUCGGAAUUACUGGGCGUAAAGCGUGCGCAGGCGGUUCGGAAAGAAAGAUGUGAAAUCCCAGAGCUCAACUUUGGAACUGCAUUUUUAACUACCGGGCUAGAGUGUGUCAGAGGGGGGUGGAAUUCCGCGUGUAGCAGUGAAAUGCGUAGAUAUGCGGAGGAACACCGAUGGCGAAGGCAGCCUCCUGGGAUAACACUGACGCUCAUGCACGAAAGCGUGGGGAGCAAACAGG
rnacentral:rRNA from 1 species